AUACGGGGGAUGCAAGCGUUAUUCGGAAUCAUUGGGCGUAAAGGGCACGCAGGCGGUUCUGUCAGUCAGAUGUGAAAGCCCGGGGCUUAACCCCGGACGUGCAUUUGAAACAGCAGGACUUGAGUAUGGUAGAGGAAAGCGGAAUUCCUGGUGUAGAGGUGAAAUUCGUAGAUAUCAGGAGGAACACCGGUGGCGAAGGCGGCUUUCUGGACCAAAACUGACGCUGAGGUGCGAAGGCGUGGAUAGCGAACAGGAUUAGAUACCCCAGUAGUCC
rnacentral:rRNA from 1 species